CCCUUAGAUGUCCUGGGCUGCACGCGCGCUACACUGGAAGUUACGGAUUGAGAUACUACCUUGUCCGAAAUGGUCCGGGUAAUCACCUAAAAGCUUGUCAUAAUUGGAAUGGAUUAUUGUAACUAGUAAUCCUGAACGAAGAAUUCCUAGUAAGUCCCAGUCAACAGCUGGUACUGAUUACGUCCCUGCCCUUUGUACACACCGCCCGUCGCUACUACUGAUUGGACGUUUAAGCAAGAUUUUUAAACACUGACAGUGUGUAGUUCACGCUAUACUACAGUGAGAAGAAGAAGAUCGAGCUUACUUGUCUAGAGGAAGUAAAAGUCGUAACA
rnacentral:rRNA from 1 species